rnacentral:rRNA from 1 species
UGGGGAAUAUUGCGCAAUGGGGGAAACCCUGACGCAGCGACGCCGCGUGUGGGAUGAAGGUCUUCGGAUUGUAAACCACUGUCGCGAGGGACGAAGCUCUGACGGUACCUCGAAAGGAAGCACCGGCUAACUCUGUGCCAGCAGCCGCGGUAAUACAGAGGGUGCGAGCGUUGUCCGGAAUCACUGGGCGUAAAGGGCGCGUAGGCGGCCCGGUAAGUAGGGGGUGAAAUCUCAUGGCUCAACUGUGAGGCUGCCUUCUAGACUGCCAGGCUUGAGCACAGUAGAGGCGAGUGGAAUUCCCGGUGUAGCGGUGGAAUGCGUAGAGAUCGGGAAGAACAUCGGUGGCGAAGGCGGCUCGCUGGGCUGUUGCUGACGCUGAGGCUCGAAAGCGUGGGGAGCAAACAGGAUUAGAUACCCAAGUAGUCCCUGAGCGGGCUGGCAAGGCGCAU